UGGACCAGUAACAUGACCUAAAAAAUAAGGAGAGCUUGAAAUACUUGUACAACUGGGUGAUAUUUCACAUGAAGAAAGGCUUCAGAAAGUGCUGAAACACAUAGAGUAUGAUUUGAUAGGUAUCCUUUACAUCUGAUUUUCUUUUCAGAACCAUGAAAAUUCUAAAGGCUUUAUAGCAAAAUAUGAAAUAAAAAGAAAUAUUUUACCUGUUGGAUCAAAGUCUGGAAAGUAAUCUGGGCAGUACUGAUGGGACAAUACUCCAGCCGGUGUAUCAUCCCAACACAGCCAUCCAUCCCAGGUGCCAGCAAGCCAUCCAAGCAGAAAUUGCUUACCAACAGAAGAGGUUCUGAAUACUUGAUACUUCUAACUCUAGAUGGACACUUACUCAGUUUAGCCACCGUAUAUGUGAUGUCACUCCUAAAGGUGCAAGCAAAUGGCGCCACAAAUACGACUGCCAAGCUGCCACCAAUACCUGUAGUCCUCAGCCGAAACACCGCUGGUUCUUUCGGGUAAUAAAUACUCUGCUUCCCACAUGCCGGGUACUGUUCUAGGUGCUGGAGACUCAGCAGUGAAGAAGACUAGCCAGGUCCCUGCCCUCAUGGGGCUUACAUUCUAGGUUUCGUGCACACUCGUCAUGGAGUUUAGUGGAAAGCAAUCUGGUUUGAAUGGUCAUGGAGUCAAGGAAUUCCUACUUUGAUGUAAGACAACCAGCCUACUUUUGGGUUACAGGUGGUUUCUAGAAGCACAGAGACAAAAAUAAUUACAGGACUGUUCUGUGUAAAACUUUAAGAAACGGUCCAUCUCUUCAGUGGUUUAAACCUAAUGAACGUGGGAACCCAUGCAAUGGUGCUAGCAUAGGGAAAGAUUCCUAAUGAUUAUCAGAGACACAACUACUUUAAAAGGAACAUGAUUCUAGAAUCCACAACCUGAUAGAACCAACAGGAUUCUGAUGUCGCCAUCCUUAAUACUGACAAUGUAGAUGUUAGGAUUUUAUUUGUAGGUUUCAGUUACUUACACUUUUCAAAAUAACAAUGGAUAAAACAGAACUUUGUAAAGUAUUAGCCCUGGUUUUUCCAGAUAGCAUCAGAUGGUUGGUGUCCUAUGUACUUUCUAUGCAAGCAUUAUAUAAACAACAAAACUGCUGCAUAAUUUUAAAUUCUAAGCAAAUAAGGGAAUGCAGCUUAAUUAACAACAGAAUGCUUCUCCAAAGAAUCUAGUUUUUCUAUGUCCUCAUCAUUAUUGUUAUAAUUAUCAUCAUCACUACAUUUUUGAGGCUCGCUAUGUGUCAAGCCCUGUCCUAAGUCUAUUUAUUGCAUUACUGUAGGUAAGGGAGAGAAAGUGAGGGGAUGGUUUUGCUUAAUGUAAACUUAGGCUCAUGGAAUGUGGUAACAAACUGAUACUUUAAAGAGCAUUUGGAAAUCAGGUUGGUAGAAUUCAACAGACAUACUCAUAGUGGUUUUUCAAACCAAUGUACUUAAGAAACAAUAUUUUAUAGUGAUUUAAAUCAAUAUCGCUUUAUUAAAAAAUUUAAUUUUCUUGGAGGAGUAUCCAUUGUGAAACACAAUGAAUGUUUUAGGAGGAAACCAACAUAUCAAAAAUUUUUUAUGGUAGAAUUCUCCAAAUCAAAUAUAUGAACCAAAUACAGGAUAAAGAAGCAAAUUUCUCUUUGUCACAGCAGAGAGCACAAAAUCACUCAGGUACCCUGUGCAGCAUGUUUGCUAGCAAAGAGAUGCUCACAAAUCAGAAAACUUUUUUGUCCAUGGCUCAAAUACAUGAAAUUCUUUUAAUGUCUGAAUUAUAAGAUAUAUUGGGUAAAAGUUUUGAAUAACAUAUCAGAAAUGAUCUCUCAUCUUUGCAG